rnacentral:rRNA from 1 species
ACUCCUACGGGAGGCAGCAGUGGGAAUAUUGCACAAUGGGCGCAAGCCUGAUGCAGCCAUGCCGCGUGUGUGAAGAAGGCCUUCGGUUGUAAAGCACUUUCAGUUGUGAGGAAAGGUUAGUCGCUAAUAUCGCUAGCUGUGACGUUAGCAACAGAAGAAGCACCGGCUAACUCCGUGCCAGCAGCCNCGGUAAUACGGAGGGUGC